AAAAAAACUAAGCAUAUUAUGGAAGUUGAUCUAAAUAAUAUAUGAUGUAUUUGGGUUUUUAUUAUUAGAAUAAAGCAGCCAGGGUUCAUUGUAUCCAUGGUUGCUUGGUUUGUGUAUGUGUGUGUAUGUAUAUAUAUAUAGUGAAAUGAAAGUAUUUUAACUAGCUUUGUUGUGUUACUGCCAUGCUAUAUAACUGAUGAAUGAAUGAAGC
rnacentral:lncRNA from 1 species